rnacentral:rRNA from 1 species
GUAGUCCCUAGCGGGCGAAGGUUGAACCGGUCGAAGAUACCAGCUGGCUGCAACUGUUUAUUAAAAACACAGCACUCUGCAAACACGAAAGUGGACGUAUAGGGUGUGAUGCCUGCCCGGUGCUGGAAGGUUAAUUGAUGGUGUCAUCGAAAGAGAAGCACCUGAUCGAAGCCCCAGUAAACGGCGGCCGUAACUAUAACGGUCCUAAGGUAGCGAAAUUCCUUGUCGGGUAAGUUCCGACCUGCACGAAUGGCAUAAUGAUGGCCAGGCUGUCUCCACCCGAGACUCAGUGAAAUUGAAAUCGCCGUGAAGAUGCGGUGUACCCGCGGCUAGACGGAAAGACCCCGUGAACCUUUACUAUAGCUUGACACUGAACAUUGAAUUUUGAUGUGUAGGAUAGGUGGGAGACUUAGAAGUAGGAACGCCAGUUUCUAUGGAGUCAUCCUUGAAAUACCACCCUUUAACGUUUGAUGUUCUAACGAAGACUACGGAACGUGGUCUCGGACAGUGUCUGGUGGGUAGUUUGACUGGGGCGGUCUCCUCCCAAAGCGUAACGGAGGAGCACGAAGGUUUGCUAAUCACGGUCGGACAUCGUGAGGUUAGUGCAAUGGUAUAAGCAAGCUUAACUGCGAGACAGACA